UACAGAGGGGGCAAGCGUUGUUCGGAAUUACUGGGCGUAAAGGGCGCGUAGGCGGUUCGUUAAGUCCUGUGUGAAAUCCCCCGGCUCAACUGGGGAACUGCACAGGAAACUAGCGGGCUUGAGUUCGGGAGAGGGAAGCGGAAUUCCGGGUGUAGCGGUGAAAUGCGUAGAGAUCGGCAGGAACACCCAGGGGAAACGAGUC
rnacentral:rRNA from 1 species